AGGCAAGACAACUCUUGCUCAGUUAGCACAUAAUGAUGAGGAGGUAACAAGAUAUUUUGAUGUUAAGAUUUGGGUUUUUGUAUCUGAUGAUUUUGAUGUGCAAAGGAUAAUGAUGGCAAUAAUUGAGUCUGCAACUAUGGAUAAAUGUGAUAGUUUGGCAAUGAAUGUGCUUCAGUCUAAGAUCUGGGCAUUAUUGCACAAGAAGAGGUACCUAAUCGUGCUGGAUGAUGUUUGGAUUGAAGAUCAUGAAGAGUGGGACAAACUAGAACCUCUCUUGAGGGCUGGCAUUGAUGG
rnacentral:misc_RNA from 1 species